rnacentral:tRNA from 4 species
UCCCUGGUGGUCUAGUGGCUAGGAUUCGGCGCUUUCACCGCCGCGGCCCGGGUUCAAUUCCCGGUCAGGGAA